rnacentral:piRNA from 1 species
ACAUGAUUGAACAAACAGAGGACACAA